AUUCAGAAUUUCCCAUAAGGCAUUUGGCAAAGCUGACAGUCAGCGUUUUACAUGCUCUGAUCUGCUUCUGGUGAAAAGAGACAGAUUUCGGUGCAAUUCCAUUGUCUAUAAUGGUUUAUUUCCAUUUGUCCUCAUCGAGGAGGACAAAACUGGGAGCUGGUAUUUAUCCACUGGCACCACAGAGGUCAGUGCUGGAUGGAACGUGGGUGGAGGUGGAAGAGGAAAACAAGUCUCUGUGCAGAAAACAAAGGGAUCAAGAUGAAGGCAAAUCCUGUCGCUUCAAAGAAGGCAAACUUGAUUUUCCACCGUUUCAUCCCUUGACUCACCGCUGCUACCUCUGAGAGGGACCGGAAGGCUGGGAGCAGCCUGCGACCCAAUCAGUGCUCCAUGCCACCAAACCAGCAGUGCUGCAUCUAUUCUCCCCUCCCUUUGAACAGAUGUGAGUAAAGCUGUCAGCAAAUUAAAAACACAAGCCGUGGG
rnacentral:lncRNA from 7 species